GAAGCCCAGCUUGCUGGGUGGAUUAGUGGCGAACGGGUGAGUAACACGUGAGUAACCUGCCCCUGACUUUGGGAUAAGCCCGGGAAACUGGGUCUAAUACCGGAUAUGACUAUGGAACGCAUGUUUUGUGGUUGAAAGAUUUAUCGGUGAGGGAUGGACUCGCGGCCUAUCAGCUUGUUGGUGAGGUAAUGGCUCACCAAGGCGACGACGGGUAGCCGGCCUGAGAGGGUGACCGGCCACACUGGGACUGAGACACGGCCCAGACUCCUACGGGAGGCAGCAGUGGGGAAUAUUGCACAAUGGGCGAAAGCCUGAUGCAGCGACGCCGCGUGAGGGAUGACGGCCUUCGGGUUGUAAACCUCUUUCAGUAGGGAAGAAGCGAAAGUGACGGUACCUGCAGAAGAAGCGCCGGCUAACUACGUGCCAGCAGCCGCGGUAAUACGUAGGGCGCAAGCGUUAUCCGGAUUUAUUGGGCGUAAAGAGCUCGUAGGCGGUUUGUCGCGUCUGCCGUGAAAGUCCGAGGCUCAACCUCGGAUCUGCGGUGGGUACGGGCAGACUAGAGUGAUGUAGGGGAGACUGGAAUUCCUGGUGUAGCGGUGAAAUGCGCAGAUAUCAGGAGGAACACCGAUGGCGAAGGCAGGUCUCUGGGCAUUUACUGACGCUGAGGAGCG
rnacentral:rRNA from 1 species